rfam:Otolemur garnettii contig059045, whole genome shotgun sequence.
CCAAAGGCCCUUUUCAGGGCCGCCCACAUCUUUCCGUGAAAGAGCU